CCUUCCCACUGUUGUCCCGUCCUCCCCUGCUCUCCUCCCCGCCACCGACCCACCUCUCCUCCUCCCCGCCAUCCCCGUCCCCGGCUCCUCCUCCUCCUCCCCCCCUCCCCGCCGCCGACGCUGCAACCAAACUCGGCGCCGGAUGGUAAAUCAAUGGCUUUAGCCCGAGCUCGCCUCCACUCCGCCGGCGGCGCAUCCUCCCCGGCCAGAUCCGGCCAGCUGCCGCUCUUCCAGCCCUCCCCGCGGCCGGGGUGGAGGCGCGGAUCGAGCGGCGGCAGGCGGAGGCGUGAGCGCGGGCGCGGCUAGAGCUGGGCGGGCGUGCGAACACGCGGGAGGCGAGUAGCGCGAAGCACGGCGCUCGGCGCGAGGCUAAGGCCCGGGACACGACACGGCUGGAGGUAGGUCAGCGCGGCUGCGCUCGACGCGGGGGGCUAUGGUCGCGGCAGCGGCUCGGGCGUGCACGAGCAGGCACGGGCGGCGCACGAGCAGGAAGCCGGUAGGCACGGGCGCGGCCAGCGAGGCUGCGCGUCUGCGGCUGCGUGCAGGACCAGCGGCAAUCGCUGCCUCGCCUCCACCUCCCUGCUCCUGCUUGCCUCCCUCGCCGCCCUGCCUGUGGCCGCCCUCGAAGGCACACGGCCUUCGACCCGUCCGGCCUAUUUCCCCUUCGUUUCGCGCAUCGCCGGCGCCGAAACGCGGCCGCGCCAGCAUGGCUGACCUGCCGCCGCGGCGCGCUCGUCGGGGCUGCGAGCGUUCAGCGCCGUGCCAAGCAGCCGAGCCCGCCAAUCCCUCCCGGGCUUGCUGGCUGCGAGCUCGCCCUACCCCGCCGCCGGCCGUGGGCUCGCCCUACCCCGCAGCUGGCCGUGGGCAUGGCGUGCCUGGCCAUGGCGUGAUCUAGGCUGCUCCUUCUCCUGACCACGGCAAUUGAAAUCUGAAUUCCUAAUUCAGAUUGAGAAUGACGCUAACUGAAGCACAUGAUUCUUCAAGCAUCUGGAGGGAGAGUUUUAUAUUAGAUGUGUUUUUACAAAUUUUCCCGGCCGGUGGCCACAUACUGUCAUCGGAACAGUUAAGUCAUGUUUCCGUUUUGACGCAUUUAGAUGAAUCUCCGGUGUGCAACAUCUUCUGAUGAAUCUAGCAUUUCCUUGUAUUGUUUUCCCUUUUUACUUCAUUGAUGAUUGAUCCAUGAUAUUUUCUGGUUUAAGCAGGCACUAAGCAUAGUCUCAAUUUCCCUUUUAGCUGUCCAUAGCUUUUCUGAUAUAUCUCCUUUGUUCCUCAAUAGUUUGCUGGAGGGUAGUAAAACUUUGAGCAUCGCUAUCCUUGUAGAAACAAAAAAAAAGUAUGGUUUCAUUUUGCUGCAUCUGUACUCUUAUUAUGUAGGCAGUGGUAGCAGCUCUUUUCAUGAACAUGUAUAUUGUUGGACUGAACCAGAUAUUCAACAUUGAGAUAGACAAGUUUAACAAGCCAACUCUUUCAACAGCGUCCGGGGAAUAUACCCCUGCAACUGGGGUUGCAAUAGUAUGGUCUUUGCUGCUAUGGUAACUAUGCUAUUUCAGUAUGGAAGAAAUUAGAACUUCAGUCAUGUUUUAUUUCCACUUCUCUUUUGCAGGAUAGAUAGAUCCUGAACCUGAAAUGUGUCUCCUUGAUAUGCUUUGCAUAGUUGCUCUCUACAUGAAGCUUCCAAAUUGCUCUUUUGCUCGUGAAUCAGGAAGGAAAAUGUCAUUGUUUGCCAAAACUACAAUGCGGAUUAUGAUCUUCUUGUGCUGAUUCUUUGGUGCAUUUCUUGUCUGAAUGUCACACAUAACAUAGCCUAUCACUUCUGCUAGAUAUUGAGUGCAACUUAUAUUUAUCUAAUAGGUCUGAAGUGUUAGUGGAGAAUAGGUGUUAUAAUUUUGCUUUCCAGGGCCUGUACAAUAUUGUGGGUAUUCUCUUCUUUCUAAUAGACUAGGUAAUCAUGUUUGGAAGCUACCAAUGAAUUUGUCAACUGCUAUGUGACAGAACACAAUGUUUUCCUUCCUAAAAGAUUGGAUAAUCAUAUGUCUAUUGAAAAUGCUACCGGUUGCAUUUUUGUUCCAUUAUUUAUUACAACCAACCUUUUCUAUGUGCCAACUACAGAGGUUAGCAAAUAUUAACUGACUCAUGAUCAACGUUUUUUUAGACCAUUUACGAUCAGGGAUUGAGUCAUUCACUUCUUAUUUUUUCAUUUGUGAAACUAUCCAAAUUGCAGCAAUGGGGAUAAUUUCUUUCCAUAGGUGAGAUUUGUGAAGCCUAUUUCACCAAUGCUCUUUGAAUGAUGGAUCUUCAACGAGCAGCCAAGCAGGUAAAUUCUCUUUCUGAUUGUUGUCUAUAGCAUCUCAUCCUCUAGCUAUUGCUGCCCCAACAAAGUUAUAUAGUAAUAGUGUAGAGUGUGGCGUCGUAUGCCCUUGGGGGCUUGUCUUCCUCGCUGGGAUUCGUUUCGCCGGCGGUGGAUUCCCUUGUCCUAUCGGUUUGCUUAGGUCUCUCCUUGGCGGGCCGAUGCGGACUUGCUGCUGGGCUGCUGCUGCUCGUCGGUGGUGGCAUCGGCUGUUUUUCGCCGGGGUGGUGGCCGCUUCUGGUCGCUGCGCUGGUGAUGGCGAUGGCUUCUUGGUUGGCGGUGGUCAGAUCUGGCAACGGCGAAGGUGGUAUCGUCGGCUCCGGCGACGAACUCGUGAGGUCUGCACACCCCCACCAUAGGGGAUGGGGAGGAUUGGAUGCAUGGGAAGAGGAAGAAAGGUGGGCGGGAGCUGCCUGGCCGGCUCCGGCGCCGGAGAAGCGCGGGGUUCGUCCCCGACUGCGAGCUACAUCGACUAUCAGAUAUCGGAUCCAUUUGAAGCCUUGGUGCGAGGGAAGCUUCUUCGGCUUGGGUUGGGUGCUUGCACCUUCGUGGGUAGAUGGAGUGCGGCUUCUGUAUCCUCUGUAUCCUCUACGGAGGUGUCUGUAUUCGUAUGUCUUCAUGGAUAUUUUUCUUACCGUUUAAUAGAGACAUCUUUGCUAAAAAAAGAAUGAACUUGAUACCAUUUAAAAAGCACGUCAGUGUUGAUUCAGAUUAUAAA